UUCUCUUUUUCCAUUAAUUCAGUCCGUCUGUCAUAUACACUGCCUCACAAGCACUGCUAUUUCCUUAAAGAAAAAUAUUUCUUGCUCGUCUUUGUUCUGUGUUCAUAUACAUAUUUAUUUUCUUCUUUUCCUCCUGUGAUCGAUAGAGCGCUUGUAUGGUCAGAGACUGUCCUAAAUGACAUUACGGACAAUGCAAGACAAAGGCUGUCAAAUAACUCUGGUGUAUUUGUCUUAAAGGCAAGUAUAUUUAAAGAAGUAACAUGGAAGUGUAAUCAAUUGUGACUUCUUGCCUGUUUAAUUUUUGUGUUUCUUUGAAUAUUGUAUAUGAACUGUAUGUUGUUCUGGGAGAGAAGUUUGACUUCACUUUUUUAUAUAAAGGUUUUUGUAGCCGUAUAUAUUUUCAAUUAAAUAUACUAAUUUACUCAUUAUUAUUUGCACAACAUAUAGAAUAUCAGAAAAUGGAGGUGUGUCGUUCUGCUUGAUCAUUUCUCUUUAGAGGAAGUGAUUUGAUAAACACCACGAGUGUGAAAGUGCAGCUUUUUAACUUGUCAACAGUGAAUUAUUUUAGGAUGUCAUCGGACUGAAUGUUUAGUGACUAAUGACACUUCAUUUCAGUAAAAAUAUAAUCUGUAGCCUUGGAGUGAAAGCAGCAGCAAAGUGUUCCUGAUAAAAAUCCUCAGGUUGAAACGCUUGCACUGUCAACCUCAGGUUCCUUAAAUAUCUCUUCUACAGGACAGUUUGAAAUCAGUGGAAACUUGCCAAAGUGAUAGAAGUCUUUCCAGGAACUGAUGGUAGGGUGAGAAGACUUAAACUUCUUGUUAGUAAUGCAACACUGGAUAGCAAGGUUGCACGCACAAGCAAGUUAGUUUAUCUAGAAAGACCCAUACACAAAACAGUGUUAUUACUUGAAGCUGAUUUCUCUGUGUAUACUUAACGUGUUCAAAAUACCCCUUUGAAUGUUAAGUUCAUUAUGUGUUACUUGAGUAUUCAUAAUCUCUAUUAGGAAUCACACAUAGUGUGAUGGUGGGAGUGUAAUUGCUGCCUCAAAGUUUCGAUUUUCUGUCACAAAGGGAGUUGACAUUUAUUUCCUCUAGAUGGUGCUUGUGUACUUCAGCACUAAUUUACAUCUACUUUUGAUUAGUUCAAUUUGUAUAAUUUUAUAUAUAUUUUUUUUUCAUGUUUAUUGUGAUUUCUAUACUCAACUGUUGUUUAUUUGAGCAAGAUUGAAUCUUUCUAAGAGUUUCUUGAUUAUAUUUUAUUUUAUUCACAACAUGCUUUUGUA
ensembl:lncRNA